CCUACGGGAGGCAGCAGUGGGGAAUAUUGCACAAUGGGGGAAACCCUGAUGCAGCGACGCCGCGUGAGCGAUGAAGUAUUUCGGUAUGUAAAGCUCUAUCAGCAGGGAAGAAAAUGACGGUACCUGACUAAGAAGCCCCGGCUAACUAAGUGCCAGCAGCCGCGGUAAUACGUAGGGGGCAAGCGUUAUCCGGAUUUACGGGGUGUAAAGGGAGCGUAGACGGCUUGGCAAGCCAGAUGGGAAAGGCCCGGGCUCAAACUCAGGACUGCAUUUGGAACUGUCAUGCUAGAGUGUCGGAGAGGCAGGUGGAAUUCCUAGUGUAGCGGUGAAAUGCAUAGAUAUUAGGAGGAACACCAAUGGCGAAGGCGGCCUGCUGGACGAUGACUGACGUUGAGGCACGAAAGCGUGGGGAGCAAACAGGAUUAGAUACCCCAGUAGUC
rnacentral:rRNA from 1 species